rnacentral:rRNA from 1 species
CGACAUCAGGUCAGGCGGGGACACCCACUGAGUUUAAGCAUAUCAAUAAGCGGAGAAGCAGAAACUUACGAGGAUUCCCCUAGUAAUGGUGAGCAAACCGGGAUGAGCUCCGUGUGAAAAUCGGGCUAACUGGUAGCCUAAAUUGUAGUCUAAAGAGGCGACCUCAAUGAUGAAAUGGACCCAAGUCCCCUGGAAAGGGGCACCGGGGAGGGUGAGAGCCCCGUACAUCCUGCACCCUGCUGCAAUGCGAGGUGGUAUCACCAAGUCGGGUUGUUUGGGAAUGCAUCCCAAAUCAGGCGGUAAGUUCUGUCCAAGGCUAAAUACUGACGAGAGACCUAUAGCGAACAAGUACCGUGAGGAAAAGAUGAAAAGGACUUUGAAAAGAGAGUCAAAGAGUGCUUGAAAUUGUUUGGAGGGAAGCUGGUGGGGGUCAGCGAUGCGCCUCAGCCUGAAACAGAAUGACGAUGGGCUGGUCCGCCGCUCGGCUUGAGGCGUUGGUCGUUGCCAGCUGUGGCGUCGGCCGGUGCCUAAGCUUUUGAUGCUCAAGGACAUACCGCCGACUCGGCCGGGUGUACAGGAGCAUGCGCUUUCCCGCGAGCAUGCGCUUUACCGGGCUGCAGGCUCCCCAUUCGUCCUGUCUUGAAACACGGACCAAGGAGUCUGACAUGUGUGUGAGCCGAUGGGUGCGAAAGCCCGGAUGGAGCAAAGAAUCGAAUGCGUGGGAUCCCUAAUCGGGGAGCACCACGGACUAACCCCGAUCUUAUGUGAAGUGUUCGAGUGGGAGCAUGUCUGUCAGGACCCAAAAGAUGGUGAACUAUGCCUGAGCGGGGCAAAGCCAGAGGAAACUCUGGUGGAGGCCCGCAGCGAUACUGACUUGCAAAUCGUUUGUCUAACUUGGGUAUAGGGGCGAUUGACUAAUCAAACCAUCUAGUACUUGGUUCCCUCCAAAGUUUCCCUCAGGAUAGCUGGAGCCCAUUCGAUGUUCUAUCAGGUAAAGCCAAUGAUUAGAGGCUUCGAGGGCAACACCCAACUGUGCACUAACCCAGAAACCACAAAGGGUGUUGGUCGAUUAAGACAGCAGGACGGUGGUCAUGGAAGUUGAAAUCCGCUAAGGAGUGUGUAACAACUCACCUGCCGAAUCAAUUAGCCCCAAAAAUGGAUGACGCUUAAGCGUGCGACCCAUACCCAACCGUCGGGGCUAUCGUCAUGUCCUGAUGAGUACGAGGGCGUGGCAAAUACCGCAAAAAUCGGGCGCGAGCCAGUGCAGAGCGGCCGCCAUUGUCGAUCUUGGUGGUAGUAGCAAAUAUUCAAAUGAGAACUUUGAAGGCCGAAGGGAGGAAAGGUUCCAUGUGAACGCACUUGCACAUGGGUUAGUCGAUCCUGAGAGACGGGGGAGACCCGUAUGAGAGCGCCGCAUGGUGUGCGAGCUUCGAAAAGGAACCAAGUUAAAAUUCCCGAGCUUGGAUGUGGCAGCGGACGACAAUGUGAGGCAGUCCAGAGACACCGGUGGGGGCCUCAGAAAGAGUUAUCUUUUCUACUUAACAGCCUGCUAGCCUUAGAAAUGACUCUGCUGGAGGUAGGGUCCAGCGGCUAAAAGAGCGACGCAAGUCGAGCAGCGUCCGCUGUGCACCCGGCGGCCCGUGAAAAUCCAAAUGGCCGGGUGCCUCCCACACCUGGUCGUACUCAUAACCGCAUCAGGUCUCCAAGGUUAACAGUCUCUGGUUGAUGGAGCAAUGUAGGCAAGGGAAGUCGGCAAAAUGGAUUCGUAACUUCGGGAAAAGGAUUGGCUCUAUGGGUUGGGCACGGGGGUCCCAGUUCCAAACCCAUCGACUAUCGGUGAACUGCUUGAGCUACUGUCAUGGUGAGAGCGGGUUGCUGCGUGCUGGUUGGGGGACGGACUGGGAACAUUCCCCUCGGGGCACUUCCCUGGGCGUCAAACAACCGACUCAGAACUGGUACGGACAAGGGGAAUCUGAUUGUUUAACUAAAACAAAGCAUUGCAAUGGUCCCAGCGGAUGCUCACACAAUGUGAUUUCUUCCCAGUGCUCUGAAUGUCAAAGUGAAGAAAUGCAACUAAGUGCGGGUAAACAAUGGGAGAAACUAUGACUCUCUUAAGGUAGCCAAAUGCCUCGUUAUCUAAUUAGUGACAUGCAUGAAUGGAUUAACGAGAUUCCCACUGUCGCUGUCUACUAUCUAGCGAAACCACAGACAAGGGAACGGGCUUGGCAGAAUUAGCGAAAAAAGAAGACCCUGUUGAGCUUGACUCUAGUAUGACUUUGUGAAUUGACUUGAGAGGUGUAGGAUAAGUGGGAGCCGGUCCUACUAGCGGAAGUGAAAUACCACUACUUUUAAUAUUAUUUUACUUAUUCUGUGAGACGGAGGUGGGGCCUGGCCCCUCCUUUUGGAUCCAAGUCCCGCCCUGGCGGGAAGAUCCUGGUGAAGACAUUGUCAGGAGGGGAGUUUGGCUGGGGCGGCACAUCUGUUAAAAGAUAAUGCAGGUGUCCUAAGCUGAACUCAACGAGAAGAGAAAUCUUGUGCGGAACAAAAAGGUAAAAGCUUGUAUGAUUCAGAUUUCCAGUACGAAUAUGAACCGUGAAAGCGUGACCUAUCGAUCCUUUAGAACUUCGAAAUUUGAAGCUAGUGUGUCAGAAAAGUUACCACAGGGAUAACUGGCUUGUGCAGCCAAGCGUUCAUAGCGACGUUGCAUUUUGAUCCUUCAAUGUUGGCUCUUCCUAUCAUUGUGAAGCAGAAUUCACCAGGUGUUGGAUUGUUCACCCACGAAUAGGGAACGUGAGCUGGGUUUAGACCGUCGUGAGACAGGCUAGUUUUACCCUAUUGAUGAUCAUGCCGCGACAGUAAUUCAACUUAGUACAAGAGGAACUUUUGAUUCACACAAUUGGUCAUCGCACUUGGUUAAAAAGCCAGUGGCGCGAAGCUACCAUGUGCGAGAUUAUGACUGAACGCCUCUAAGUCAGAAUCCAUGCUGAAAAUGCAGCGCCAGUGCUCGUCGUUCGCCCAGUGUCCCGAAGUAGGAGACUCCAAUCACACAUGGGCGGCGGACGGAGGUUGCUUCCUUCCACAGGGCAUAAAGGCCGUGGCAGACCCCUUGAUGUGAAGUUUCAAAAGGGCGGCGAGCUGAAUCC